CCAUUGGGCCUGCAGCUCUGAAAAUUCCAAGCCAACUCAAACUGCCCACUCACAGAGCCAAGAUUAGAAACAGGCCUCAAAUGGCAGACAUGGUGGCUAGAUAUUGGAUAUACGGUGGCAAAAACAAGGUUCCCUGUCCUCAAGGGGUUUAUACUUUCCUAUGGCCAUAAAUAGGAAAACAAAAUAAAUGCAAGGCUCCUUCAAUUGCUCUUAUGUGGCCAGGACAACAAAGCUUUUACCAUGCAAGUUUCCCUCCUUUGGAAGUUCUACAGAUCAUCCUUCUUAUACUGGAGCACUCAGAACUGAAUACAAUACUACAGAUGUGAUCUGACCAAGGCAGAGGGUUAUGAAAACUUACCUGUUCCUGGAUAUCCUACCUCUAAAUGUUGCCUAAAGCCAAAAAUCACAUUGAUUUUUUUUUUGGUUUGUUGUGAACCUAUAUUGAACCUGCAGUCCUGUGUCUGGGAAGUUCAUUCCCUCCCCCUCCUGGAGAGUCAACCUCUCUGUCAAGAUUCCUCAAAUGUGAAUGCAGCCUUUGUGAACACCAAUAAAAGAGAGGGAACAGGGACUGACCUGGGCUUUUUGGAGGAACUCCAGGAAGGAGCAGACAGAUAAGGAGGGAAAGGAGGAAGUUAAUGGAAAAUAGGCACACAUGGUCAGGUACAUUCUGAUCUUUGAAGGAAGACUCCGCAGAGGGCAAUUACCAUGCUCUUCAAGUCUAAACUUCUCCAACUCUUUGAAUCUUCCCUUGUCAGAAACUGAAUGUAAGUCUGGAUGGGUCAUUAAUCUAACUCAGUGUGGCAUUUCUUAAACGCUUAUAUGUUCUAAUUAGGGGAAUGAAGAGUAUGUUCCAAACAGAAGAAACAGCAUGUGGGAAACCAUGGAGGUGUAAGCAAUCAAAUCAAGAGCAGGGAGUGAUAAACAGCUUUGUCUGCUCAUGGCACUCCUACCAAUGAAGAACCGCAUGUCUCCCCAGUUUCAUGCUCAUUCCUUCCCUGUAGAUCUCACCUUUAAAAUGCAUUCACUUUGACUUGCAAAAAAUAAACAUACCUCAGGCCUUUCA